GCAUUUGGAUUUUGGAGGCAAUCACUGAAGAGCCUACGGGUGCUGCCAGCUGGUAGCUGCUAGGGGAUUUCACCAGGGAUAAUAUCCUUGGUAUUGCAUUUGUCAGCGAGGGUUGGUGCCUUAUUCAGCUAUGCUUCUGGUACUCGGUAAGCAUGCAGAGUGGACACAUUUUAUUCCCUCUGAUGUAGGAGUAGAACAGUUUCCCCUGCUUUUCCUACAACAGAUUUCACUCUUGUAACUCAAAAUCGAUGCUAUAGGAAUUGUUCCUAGCUAAAGGAUCCAUCCAUACAUUGGGAGGAGAACCAAGAUCGAUUCUAAUUCUGCCCA
rnacentral:lncRNA from 1 species